GGGCAACAAAGAAGGGUGUGGCGACAGCGAGGUAGAGGACACUGCUUCAUGCUGCAAUGGUGGAGCCAUCGAUUUCCAACUUCUGUUCAAAGAGAGCCAGAACAUGAAGGAGUCGAUGACUUGUAAGGUUUGCGGAUCGAAUGAGGUGACUAUGCUUCUGCUGCCAUGUCGCCAUCUCUGCUUGUGCAAGGAUUGUGAGAGUAAGCUCAGCUUCUGCCCGCUGUGUCAGUCCUCCAAGUUUAUUGGCAUGGAGAUCUAUAUGUAGUGAGAGUGGUUAACACCACCCUAAGUCCUGAACUUUAUAAUUACUGCAAGUUUGAUGUGUAUAUCUCCCUGUAUUUCUAGUAUAGGUGCUGAAGAACAUGAACAAUUUCCGUGGGCUUGGUGGUUAUGUUGUCGAUGUAUGAGUAAAAGAUGUUUCGUUUGAACUUCC
rnacentral:misc_RNA from 1 species